rnacentral:rRNA from 1 species
AUACGUAGGGGGCGAGCGUUGUCCGGAAUUAUUGGGCGUAAAGAGCUCGUAGGCGGUCCGUUAAGUCGGAAGUGAAAUCUCAAGGCUCAACCUUGAAAUUGCUUUCGAUACUGGCGGACUUGAGGCAGGUAGGGGAAGGUGGAAUUCCUGGUGUAGCGGUGAAAUGCGCAGAUAUCAGGAGGAACACCGGUGGCGAAGGCGGCCUUCUGGGCCUGUUCUGACGCUGAGGAGCGAAAGCGUGGGGAGCAAACAGGAUUAGAUACCCUGGUAGUCCACGCCGUAAACGAUGGGUGCUAGGUGUGGGGGGUUAUCCACUCCCUCCGUGCCGUAGCUAACGCAUUAAGCACCCCGCCUGGGGAUUACGACCGCAAGGUUAAA